UACUUUUAUUGCACUAUACAUAUAUAAGAUAGAAAAAUAGUCUCAAAGAUUGUCUCAUCUCAUACCAUCUAAACGAUUAUCACAAUAUGGACAUAGCCCUUACAUUAAGUCAACAAGACCACAUGUAGGUCAUACAAAAGUAUAGUACUCAAUUAAAAAGGAAAGAAUGAAAGAGUCUUUAACAAGUCCGUAAGCUAGACAGUGGCACUACCCUCGGAAGUUGAGGACCUACCCUACUUGGAUGAAAUGAAGAAUCAAAGCCUUCAACAAUGUCGCCUUCAAAAUUCUUCAACGAUCGGAACCUAAAAUGUUUGGGAAAAGGAAAGAAAAUGGGGUUAAUACUCCACAUAUACUAAGUAUGAGACCUUAUGCACAUAUACUAGCAAAACAUGCUAAAAAGGAAUUUUUAGUCAAAACAUGUCAUUUUACCGUUUUAGAAACCUAAUGCAAAUCUAAGCAAGUCAUAUAACCCACCAAACAUGCUUACUAACUCAACAAGUAAUACGUAUUCCAACAUACUUGAAACCAUGAUUUACUACAACCCUAUCAUCAAGGAAUAACAUCACAAGAAUGAAUUAGAGUCAAUCGUAUCAUAAUAAGCAAGACAACUACUCAUGAAUCCUUAUCAAGUCAAAAAGUGCAAUGACCAAGCAAAGCCCCAUAACCUUACUCAAUCAAGUAGCCUCAACAAGAAACCAUAACCAAUGUCCAUCUUCACAUAACAUAACAUUUAGAUUUAUAUUCCAUCUUAUGUUAACCUUUUUAACCCAAAGCAUACUCAUAAAUGAACUAAUCAACAUAUAGUAUGAACAAUGUGCCAAGGUCAUCAUGAAUAUAUCAUAUAUCAUCAUAACAUAAACAUAUAUAAGAACAUCCUCCUAAGACUCCCCUUAAGUCUAACUAGUGCAAUGCUAUAUAGAGUCUCAUACCCCUACCUAGACUAAGCUAGACCCCUUAGGUUACCCAAGUUAGAGUUCAAGUCCUUUAAUUAAUUUUACCUUUUGGGAACAUUUUGCCCUAACCGACAUUGACCACAUGAGCUAGUGUGGAAUCCGAGGUCAUAAAACCCUGCACCGAAAGAAGGCGAACUACUUGCCAAGUUAGUACCAAUACAUGAAACAUAGCAACUACGUGGAUCCACUAGCUAGUAUUACUAUGGGGGAAACAUAGUUCAAGAACUAGGAGAUAUAGUUGGGACCCUCUUUAUGCGCCAUUCAUUGUAGUCUCCAAUCUCAAGAGUAAUGUAGUAUUCCUACCUUCCCUAUGUGGUAAGGUACACUUCUCAAUCUAGUUCACUCGGUGCAAAACUAGUCCCUUUUUGAAAUGUCUUUAAGCCUUUAUUUAUCAAUCAUAAUAAGGCGCAUUGGUAUGCAUCACCAUCCUUAUAGCAUUUACAUCUUAAUCAACCUCACAACCAUAAUCAAGACAUUUUAAUUCAAUAUCAUACCACCCUAUCAAUCCUAAUACAAGACAUACUCCAAUAUAAUAUCAUGACUUAACCACAAUUAAUCACAAUUGGAAGUAAAGAUAGAGAUUCUAAGGCUUACCAAGUAUUCCUCAUAGUUCAUCAUCAAGGUAUUACCAUCAACCCAUAACUCAACCCAACUAGGCCAGUAACAUCAUCACAUAAUGAUAACCAAUACGAUAACAAUGCCAAUUGCAUCUCUAUAACACAAUUCAACACUAGAUUAUAGCUUAAGACAAGAUACAUAGGCUAAUUUCACAAUAUACUUCAUAACCUAAAUUACAUCUCAAGAACUAGCAUGAUAAGCCUAUAAUUAAUCUAAAUUUAUUCAUAAACACCAUAGGAUAGUAAUCUAAUCAAUAACCAAGUCAAUUGAAAGAUCACAAUACAAUAUAGGUUAAGAUCACAACCUAGGGUUAGGGGUUGAGGAUCAUGUUCUUCAAUCUAGAACAAACCAUCAACAAUUACAAUAAACAAGUUAAAUUAAAUGUUAAUAUAUUCAAUAUAACCUAUGGAAAUCAUUAACAACUCAAUUCAUAAUUUCAAUUUCGUAAUUAGAUGAAACUCAUAAGAAAAAUCAACUUUUGAAAUCCAUUUUGAAGGAACCCUUUGAGGAAAGAGUAUCAAAGGUGAAUUAGAUCCCAUAUCUUAAUGUUUGAUGAAAAUUCGAUGGUUAAUUCGUUCCUUUUCAUACCCCAAACCCUUAUCCCUGCUAGACUUCAAUGGUGAGUUCAAGUAGAGAGAGAAAGAAGAGAGAAGGAAGAUAGUUUAUUUUGUGAGUUAUCAUAAGGUUAAUUAGGGUUGGAGACUUUAUAUGGGAGUUUAAGUUAGUUAAUUAGUAUCCCCUCAAUCCCUAACUAAGCCAUAAACUACUUAAUCAAUUAAAUGUCUUACCACUAAAACGUGCAGGAAAAUCCCCCCUCCCCCACAGACGGAACCCCACCGACGGGCUGUCUAUGAGUCUGCAGACCUACCCCCCUCUCGUCCUGCACUCUGUCGAUGAUUUCAAAGACCGUGCAGGCGAGGGGCUUUGUGAAGGAAUGACUGCUUUACCAAAUUUGGCAGGAAGGACAAUCAUCCACAAGACCACCUCGUUUCAAUGGUCAUUACUAUGGGUGCGUGAAAAAUCUAAUGCAUGACUACAUUAAUGCAAAGGAUUCACAAUGAUGGGAUGUUAUCUUGGAUGGUCCUUAAGUUUCGAUGAAGGAUGGAAGUCUCACCACUUUCGUGGUUAAGUCCUGAAAGGAGUUUACUGAGAUUGAUAGGAAAAAGUAUGAAAAGAACUAAAAGGUGAAAAAAAAAUCCUAGUCUGUGGUAUUGGUGCUGAUGAGUAUAACAAAAUCUCAGAUUUUGAAUCGGCAAAGGAGAUUUGGGACUGCCUUCAAACUGCUUAUGACAGAACCAAGAAGGUGAAGGAAUCAAAGGUGAACAUGCUUACUACUCAAUAUUUGAAAUGAACUCGUGUUUCACUGCCAUAAAAAAUGCGCUCAGAGGUCUAGGAGAUCUAUACUUAUGUGCAAGCAAGUUCGAAAAAUUCUCAAGAUUCUUCCAAAAUCUUGGGAAAGCAAGGUGGAUGUAAUUACUGAGGCAAAAGAUCUAAUGACCUUGCCUAUGGAUGAGCUUAUAGUAAAUUUGAAGACCUAUGAGUUGAAAAUAGGAAGCAAGGAGCAACUGGGAAGGAGUCAAAGAAAGAAAAGAACAUUGCUUUGGAAUCUUCACAAAGCGAGGUGACUAAAGAAGAAGCAGAGAUGACAUACAUGACAAAGAGGUUCCAAAAGAUUAUCAAAAAGCAUGGUGGUUUCAAAAAGAAAGGAACAACCAGCAGAGUGGCUACAACUAAUGACUUAUGUCACAAAUGUGGUAAGCUAGGUCACUUUAUGAGAGAUUGUCCAAGUCAAAAACAAGAAUCUCAUGAAGUGAGAUAUCGUAAGAAGAACCUGGUCCCAGACAAUUUUCGAAGGAAAGCACAUGCUAAUCAGAUGGUAAAAAAAGAGCCUUUGCUGUAUGGGGUGAUGAUUCAAGUGAGUCCGGGGAAGAAGUUGAGGAGCACAAAUAUGUUUCUAUGAUGGCCAUUGAAGAUGAUGACAUCAUCGUCAACUCAAUCUUCUCAUUAAUGGUAACAUCAGAUGAUGAGGACGAUGCACCUGAGGUAACUCUCUUUGAAUUAAAAGAUGAUCUGGGAAAUCUUUCUACUGAAAGUCUGAGGAAACUGGCAGUGUUAAUAAUUGGUUCUGUAGAUGAGCUGUCUAAUAAAAACUUAAUGCUGACUAAAAAAUUAAGUUUAUUGAAAAUGAAAAUGCAGCUUUUCUAACACAGAUUUCUGAAAUGAGUAAAAGAAUAGAGAUACUGGAGUCUAACAACAAUGUUGAUGAGGAAGAACCUAGUACCUCUAAACAUCAUAAAAGAAAAAUUAACAUUUAUGAGGAAGAAUUGGAGGAUAAUCUUAAAAUCUCUAAAUCUAAGUUAGCUGCUUCUCUUGAAAAGAAUUCUCAGCUAAGGAAGGAUCUUAAGAAAAUCAAAGAAGAGUUAGAUCACUCUCUAAAAUAGACUGAAUCUUCCAAGAUUCUCUCUAAUAUCUCUCCGCAAAGUAUCAAUGGGAAACGAGGUCUAUGGAGCAAAAGAAUAGAACCACCAUAUAAUCCUCAUAGCAAAUGUGUGUCUGUGGCUAAUAAUUUCUUAUGCACACUUUGUGGAAGAAAUGGACAUGUAAAAUAAAGGUGUGAUAAAUUAAAAGAUUCUAAGGAGGGGCAUGUGAAGCUUGUGAAAUCAGAAAGUCGUCAGACUAACAGCGAGCAAGGACCUGGUUCAUGUGAUGAAUCUGUCAGAAAUGAUAGACCUGUGAAGAAAUUUAAAAAAGGACAUGGUUCUCGUUUCCAUUUUAGUAAAAACUUCUCACCUCCUUGGACUAGAAGAUUUCUGGGUGGAAACAUCAAUUUUCAUAUCCACUAGACAAUCUAAUCUCUCCUCUGGAGUCAGGAAUUCAAACAAGGUCAAAGUCACACAACAUGGUGGCGUUUACAACAUUCAUAUCCCUAUAUGAAUUUAGAAUAUCAAAGAAGCGUUAAAAGAUCCCGACUGGGUAGUCUCUAUGUAAAAGGAUCUUCAUCAAUUUGAAAGAAGUAAAGUUUGGCACGUGGUCCCCCGACCAGUUGACAGAACUAUUAUAGGGACUCGUUGGGUGUUCAGAAACAAACUUGAUGAGAAUGGAAUCAUUGUUAGAAAUAAAUCAAGAUUGGUGGUGCAAGGUUACAAUCAAAAGGAAGGAAUUUAUUAUGAAGAAACCUUUGCACCCGUUGCAUGAAUGGAGGCCAUCAGAAUUCUAAUUUCUUUUGCUGUACACAAAGAGUUAAAAUUAUUCCAUAUAGAUGUGAAGAGUGCUUUUCUGAAUGGAAACUUAAAGGAGGAGGUGUAUGUUAAGAAAUCUCCAGGUUUUGAAGACUCUGAGUUGCUUGAUCAUGUACUGAAAUUGGAUAAAUCUCUGUAUGGAUUAAAGCAAGCGCCUCGAGCCUGGUAUGAGAGACUAUCAAAGUUCUUGUUAACAAAUGAGUUCAAAAGAGGCAACGUAGAUAAUACUUUGUUUUUGAAAACUAGAGGAAAAGAAUUGUUGAUUGUGCAGGUAUAUGUUGAUGAUAUAAUCUUCGGAGCAACAUCAGAUGAUCUAUGCAAGGAGUUUGCUGAGUUGAUGAGUAGCGAGUUUGAGAUGAGCAUGAUGGGUGAACUCACAUUCUUUUUAGGAUUGCAAAUUAAACAAUCCUCUCAAGGUACUUCAAUAUGUUAAGAGAAAUACAUCAAAGAGCUACUCAACAAGUUUAAGAUGCUGGAUACAAAAGUUAUGGAUAUGCCCAUAAGCACAAGUGCGAGAAUUGAUAAAGAUGAAGAAGGCAAAGAGGUUAACCAAACCAUGUAUAGGGGGAUCAUUGGAUCACUUCUAUAUUUGACAUCUAGGAGACCAGAUAGAGUAGUCAGUGUGGAAAUGUGCGCUAGAUUUCAAGCUGCACCAAAAGAAUCACACCUGAAAGCUGCCAAAAGGAUUCUGCAAUAUCUGAAGGGAACACAGGACCUGCUCAUACGUGACUCUUUUGAACUUAUAGGUUAUGAUAAUGCAGCAUAUGCAAGCUUUUUGGAGGAUAGAUAAAGUACAUCAGGAAUGGAACAUUUCUUGGGAUCAGCAAUAUUUUAUGGGGAACAAAGAAUCAAAACUCAGUGGCCUUGUCUACUGCUGACGCGGAGUAUAUUGAUGCUGCUGCUUGUUGUGCUCAACUCUUAUGGAUCAAGCAAUAAUUUAAGUAUUUUGGGGUAUUUACAGAAACAAUUCCUCUCUUGUGCGAAAACUCGUGCAAUGAAUAUGGCCAAGAAUCCACUUCAACACAACAGAACAAAGCACAUUGUUGUGAGGCACCACUGAUAUACCGUGGUUUCACGGUAUUAUUAAUACUUUUUCCUUAAGUUUAGUGUGUCCAAAAGCCCUUUUGUGCUAAUUUUUAUAUAAGUUUCUUUUUAUUUUGCAGGAAAUCUGUCCAAAGCUGAAUGCAGAGAUUUUGAGCGAAAAAAUGCAGAAGAGACCACCUAUGGAGCUUAUGACGGUCCUUCGUGCUUGAGACGGUCCGUAGGUGGCAGUGUAGUACAGCUGCUGAAGGAAGAUGGGGAAGUCUGACCAAGUGUGGGGUUACAAAGCUUGUGACGGUCCGUCGUGUCUAUGACGGUCUGUCCUACAGGUUCGUCAUGAAGUUCAUAGAAGUAAUCCCAGUAUCCAUAUUUCAAGAGUUGAAGUGCUUUGGAACGAAGACCCUCGACGGACCGUUGUGCCUAUGACGGUCCGUCAUACUUGCCGUCGAGGGUAAUGAAGAAGAGCAACAGAAGAAAUUGCACAAGUAUGGGACGACGGAGUCCAUGACGGUCCGUCGUGACAAUGACGAUCCGUCGUGACAAUGACGAUCCGUCGUGACAAUGACGAUCCGUCGCGAGGUCCGUUGACCCAGCCGCAUUUUGGCAGAUUUCCAGCAAAUAGAGUCCUUGUUUAAUUAGGUUUUUAUAUUUUAUAAAUAGUUCGAAAAACUUCAUUUUUGGUGUUAGACCCGGGAUUAUUGUUAGACUAUGGAUCAUUGUUAGACUCUGUAUUGUUAGACACCGUAUUAGUAAACAUUUUAUUGUUAGAAUUUUGAUUAUCAUUGAUUGUUGGUGAUUAAUCAAGAAAACUCUCAGAUUUUACUCUUUCUCAUUGAAGUAAGUAUAUGAAUUCUUAUUUAAUAUAUUUGAAUAUUAUGAUUAUGACUAUGAGUAACUAAACUCCAUAACUAGGGUUGUUGGAACCAUAGGCAAAUAAUGAGAUAAAACCUAACUAAAAUAACAAUUCUAGAAUGGUGUCUUGCAUGUAUUAAUAAUUCUUUCGCUUAGAAGUCUUUUUAACGGAUGGCCAACGUUAGAACUCGCCUAAAUGCUACUUGCCGGACCAAGGAGGUAGAUUAUAGGAAAAGAAUUAUCAACAUAGAUUUAGUGUAUACUAUCUAAUAGGCUAGUAUUGAUUGGUACGAGGUAAUAACUUAGUCAAAUAUCGAAUACGAUGCUUAAUAUGAGGUAAAGAUAAGGGUUAGGAUAGCAACACACGUAGACGGACCAAGGUGCGGAGUGAGAUUUUCUAGAUGCCGGACCAAGGAUUUAGAAAUACAUAACUUAUCACUUUGCAUACAAGAUACUAGGAAAGAAUUGUUAUAGUUAGAAUUAUCAAGUUAUGAACUUGUGGGGAACACGUAAAUCCUAGUUAUUUUGAUUAAUUGAUUAAAAUACAACAUUCAAAGUUGUUAAGUGUCUCUUUCGAUUGCGUUAGUUAUUUUCAUUCAUUUUGAAAUAGAAACCCCCCUUUUAUUGUUUUUACUUUCCAAGGAAGUCAUUGACCAAACAAUAGUAAUAACAGGUUGAAGUUAAGUCUAGGCUAUUUUCCUCGUGGAAGAGAUCUCAACCUCACUAGUUGGGUUAUUUACUUGACACGACCACUUUAAUUCUUAUUUGAGAAGUAAGUUUGAGCUUAUCAAAUUUUGGCGCCGCUGCCGGGGAAACUAGCUUUUAGAUUAACUUGAACUUAUUACUAUAGUUUAGUUAAUAUUUUCUUGAUUUUACUAUGUUUUAUUGUUUUUGAUUUUUUUCAGAACUAUCCUCCUUGUAUGCCAAAUACACGGAGAGGAAGAGAACCAUUGUUUCCAUACGAUCACGAAUUAGAGCGUACACUGUGCAAUGUGAAUCGAAACUUGGGAAUAAAUGAUGAUGAUCCGAACCAGAACAUCCCAGCUCCGGCUGAUGUUCAUGGUCAGAUGUUACCCGAUGCUCCGGGUGAAAACCAACAUAGGGGACAAAAUCUCUCUCCACGGCCCCAAGCAUACGAGAGGCUAUGAUAACAUAGCAGACUCCGAUGGGCCACUGGUUUUGCCUCCUCUACCCAUAGGCCACACUUUUGUGGUAACUAGUAUCGUGAUGCAAAUGCUCACAGCCAGAGGUUUGUUUUCAGGGCUACCUUCUGAGGAUCCACAUGCCCAUAUAGCUAAGGUAAGGGUAGUGUGUAAAAGCUGUGUAGGGAGGCCUGAUUUGGAUUUAGAUGUAAUAGGUCUCAGAGUGUUUCCUCUCUCACUGACGGGAGAGGUUGCUAUGUGGUUCACUGAGCUCCCAUACAACUCAAUCUUCACUUGGAACCAACUAAGGGAUGUCUUCUUAGCACGCUACUAUCCGGUCUCCAAGAAACUAAACCACAAAGACAGAGUGAAUAUCUUUGUGGCACUACCUGGAGAGUCAAUUAGUAGUUCUUGGGAUAGAUUCACCUCGUUCUUGAGAAGUGUCCCAAAUCACCAUAUAGAUGAUGAGUCACUGAAGGAAUACUUCUAUCGGGGGCAGGUGGAUCUUAUGGGGAGUGCCCUUAUGCUGAGAUCGCUGAAAAAUUAGAGAAAAUCUCCCGAAAUAACAAAGCUUGGAGUACUAGGAAGUCUGAUACAGGGAGAAACACCUUCGCAGUGCAGUCCACUCACAACCCAGCCAUAGAUGAGAUUCGCGAAGAAAUGGCUCAGAUGAGAACCGAGCUUAGGUUGGUACUAAAACAUGUCACUGGGGGUGCAGAAAAGAUACAUGCAGUCAACUACUUGGCUAAAUGAUAUAUUGUGGUUUCACGGUAUUAUUAAUACUUUUUCCUAAAGCUUAGUGUGUCCAAAGCCUUUUUGUGCUAAUUUUUAUAUAAGUUUAUCUUUGUUUUGCUGGAAAUCUGUCCAAAGCUGAAUGCGGAGAUUUUGAGCGAUGAAUUGCAGAAGAGACCACCUACGGAGCUUAUGACGGUUCGUCGUACUUGUGACGGUCCGUGGGUGGCAGCGUAGUGCAGCUGCUGAAGGAAGACGGGGAAGUCUGACCAAGUGUGGGAUUACGAAGCUUGUGACGGUCCGUCGUGGCUAUGACGGUCCCACCUGCAGGUUCAUCGUGAAGUUCAGAGAAGUGAUCCCAGUACCCAGAUUCCAAGAGUUGAAGUGUUUUGGAACGAGACCCUCGAUGGACCGGUGUGCCUAUGACGGUCCGUCAUACUUGCCGUCGAGGGGAAUGAAGACAGCAGCAGAAGAAAUUGCACAAGUAUGGGACGACGGAGUCCAUGACGGUCCGUCAUGACCGCGACGAUCCGUCGCGUUGUUUGUCGACCCAGCCGCAUUAUGGCAGAUUUCCAGCAAUUAAAGUCCUUGUUUAAUUAGGUUUUUGUUUUUUUAUAAAUUGUUCGAAAAGCCUCGUUUUUGAGGUUAGACUCUGUUAGGUUAGACUCUACGAUAUUAGACAUCAGAUUUUUAGACUUUGUGUAUUAGUGUUGGAUUUUGAGAUUCUUGCAAGUGAUUUUUGGAUAUUAAUAAGCAAACUUUGGACUUUAUUCUUUCUCAUUGAAGUAUGUACAUGAAUUCGUAUUAUAUAUACUUGAAUAUUGUGUUUAUGGCUAUGAGUAACUAAACUUCAUAACUAGGGUUGUGGGAACCAUAGGCAAAUUCUGAGAUAAACCCAAACUAAAAUAACAAUUCUAGAUUAGUGUCUUUUAUGUAUUAAUAAUUCUUUCGCUUAAAAGUCUUUUUAACGGGUGGCCAACGUUAGAACUCGCCUUAAUGCUACUUGCCGGACCAUGGAGGUAGAUAAUAGGAAAAGAAUUAUUAACAUAGAUUUAGUGUAUACUAUCUAAUAGGCUAGUAUUGAUUGGUAAGCGGUAAUAACUUAGUCAAAUAUCGAAUAUGAUGCUUAAUAUGAGGUAAGGAUAAGGGUUAGGAUAGCAACACACGUAGCCGGGCCAAGGUACGGAGUGAGAUUUUCUAGAUGCCGGACCAAGGAUUUAGAAAUACAUAACUUAUCACUUUGCAUGCAAGAUACUAGGAAAGAAUUGUUAUAGUUGGAAUUAUCAAGUUAUGAACCUGUGGGGAACACGUAAACCCUAGUUACUUUGAUUAAUUGAUUAAAACCCAACAUUCAAAUGCUGUUAAGUGUCUCUGUCAAGUUCGUUAUUUAUUUUCACUCACUUACAAAUAGAAACCCCCAUUUAUUGUUUUUACUUUACAAGGAAGUCAUUGACCAAACAAUAGUAGUAACAGGUUGAAGUUAAGUCUAGACGAUUUUCCUCGUGGGAACGAUCCCAACGUCACUAGUUGGGUUAUUUACUUGACACGACCGCUUUACUUCUUAUUUGAGAAGUAAGUUUAAGCGUAUCAAAUUUUGGCGCCGCUGUCGGGGAUUUCAGCUUUUAGAUUAACUUGAACCUAUUACUAUAGUUUCGUUGAUAUUUUCUUGAUUUUACUUUGUUUUAUUGUUUUUGAAUUCUUUUCAGAACUAUCCUUCUUGUAUGCCAAAUACACGGAGAGGAAAAGAACCCUUGUUUCCCUACGAUCAUGAGCUAGAGCGUACACUGUGCAAUAUGAAUUGAAAUUUUAGAAUAAAUGAUGAGGAUCUAAACAAGAAUAUCCCAGCUCCGGUUGAUGUUCAUGGUCAGAUGUUACCCGAUACUCCGGGUGAACUUCAACAGUGGGGACAAAAUCCCAUUCCAUGGCCCCAAGCAUACUACAGAGGAUAUGAUAACAUAGAAGACUCAAAUGGGCCACUUGUCUUGCCCCCUCUACCCACAGGCCACACUUUUGUGGUAACUAGUAGCCUGAUGCAAAUGCUCACCGCCAGAGGUUUGUUUUCAGGGCUACCUUCUGAAGAUCCACAUGCCCAUAUAGCUAAGGUAAGGACAAUGUGUAAAAUUUGUGUGUGGAGGCCUGAUUUGGAUGUAGAUGUAAUAGGUCUCAGAGUGUUUCCUUUCUCACUGACGGGAGAGGCUGCUAUAUGGUUCACUGAGCUCCCAUACAACUGAAUCUUCACUUGGAACCAAUUAAGAGAUGUCUUCUUAGCACGCUACUAUCCGGUCUCUAAGAAACUAAACCACUAAGAUAGUGUGAACAACUUUGUGGCACUACCAGGAGAGUAAGUUAGUAGUUCUUGGGAUAGAUUCACCUCAUUCCUUAGAAGUGUUCCAAAUCACUGUAUAGAUGAUGAGUUACUGAAGGAACACUUCUAUCGGGGACAGGAUGAUAACAACAAAGCGGUGUUGGACACUAUAGCAGGUGGAUCUUUUGGAGAAUGCCCUUAUGCUGAGAUCGCCGAAAAAUUAGAGAAAAUCUCCCGGAAUAACAAAGUUUUACUAGGAAGUCUGAUACAGGGAGAAACACCUUCGCAGUGCAGUCCACUCACAACCCAGCCACAGAUGAGAUUCGGGAAGAAAUGGCUCAGAUAAGAACUGAGCUUGGGUUGGUACUAAAACAUGUCACUGGGGUGCAGAAAAGAUAAAUGCAGUCAACUACUUGGCUAAGCCACCACCUCCUAAUGAUGAGUGUUAUUAUGCGGAGGACACUUAUGCAGUAAAUGAGUAGACGGGGGGUUUCCGACCAAGCGCCCAAGGCUCAAAUAAGAAUAAUUUGCGCCAAGGUCAGAACUACGGUAACUACAACCAUGAGGGUCAUUAUGUCCGAGAUGGAAACUACAACCGCGACAACAACUUUAACAGGGGUAACUAUGCUAAUAGAAACGACAGGAAUGGGCCCUAUGUCCCUCCUCAAAAUCGUGAAGUUACUCCUAGGGAUGGUGGAGAUAGUAUGGCGCGAGUUGAGGAUAUGUUGCACAAAAUGAUGAGGAGGUUCGACACUAGUGAUGAACACAUUAAAGAGUUGAGGUGUGAUUUAGCUAGUAUUGGGAAAAAGUUGAUACACAUGCAAUUUCGAUUAAACAGAUCGAAUUGCAAGUGGCCCAAUUAUCUGCGAUAGUGAACACACGGCAACCGGGCACUCUUCCUAGCAACACUGUCCAAAAUCCAAAGAAGCACUGUAUGGCAAUCACUACUCGGGGUGGUAGGCAAACCAUUGACCCACCUAUGCCAUCUAUUGAGGAAAAUGUGAGAAAGGAUAAUGAUAAUGUGGUACAGGGUAGUGUCAAGCAGAGGGAAGUAAUGGAAAAGAUGCAGAAGUACCUAUCAAGGUAAUUCCCAUGCCUAGGCUACCACCACCUUUCCCUCAGUGAUUAGUGAAAAAGACCGAGGAUGGUAAAUACCGGCGCUUCAUAACAAUGUUGAAGCAGCUCUCUAUCAAUGUCCCUUUGGUAGAAGCUCUAGAACAAAUGCCCGAUUAUGCAAAAUUUAUGAAAGAUCUCGUCACCAACAAAAGAUUGGUCACUUUUUAGGAUGAUGAUAGACUGCAGCAAUGUGGUGCUAUUUCUACAAGAUCCCUUGUACAAAAGAAAGAAGAUCCUGGUGCAUUCACUAUUCCUUGUACAGUUGGGUCAUUACAUUUUGCGAAAGCAUUAUGUGAUUUGGGAGCAAGCAUAAAUCUCAUGCCCCUCUCAAUUUACAAGAAGUUGAGUUUGGGGGAUCCAAAACCCACUGCGAUGCGGCUACUGAUGGCUGAUUAGACAAUGAAACGGCCUAUAGGGAUACUCCAUGAUGUGCUAGUAAAAGUGGAGUCAUUCAUCUUUCCGGCUGAUUUUGUUAUUCUUGAUUGUGAGGUUGACUUUGAAGUGCCUAUUAUUCAUUGGAGGCCAUUCCUUGCCACAGGUAGAGCAUUAGUUGAUAUGGAGAAGGGACAUAUGACAUUUUGGUUGAACAAUGAAGAAGCGACCUUCAAAAUUUGUAGGACCAUGAGGCAGAGUGAUGAGCUCCAAUCAGGAUCUAUCGUAUCCCACAAAGAAAAGAUGGAGGAGAUUGAACAGAAAAAUGCAAAACAAGAGUUUAUGGUUGGGGAUUUGGUGCUUGUAGAAAGUUUUGGGGUGCCUUGUCUUCCGGGCAAGCUCAAGUCUAAAUGGAUUGGCCCCUAUUUGAUUACCCAAGUAUUCCCUCAUGGAGCAGUUAAGUUAAAAGCCAAGGAAGGAGUGCGGUUUAAGAGGAACAGAGAUAGAAUAAAACUCUAUUUUGGGCAUAAAGUAUCGGGAAUAAAGUGAUAGAGGCAUACCAUCUUGAUGAAGUCUUAGUAAUCAAGGGUCCCCAAUCGUGCCGCGACAUUAAAUCAGGCGCUUGUUCGGAGGCAACCCAAUACUUAUCAUCUUUUUAGUAAUGGUAGAAUUUUUCUACUAAUGGGUUUUAUAUUUGCAGGCACAUCAUCACGAAAUUCUGCAGAAAAUUACUCUACAGCAGUCACUGACAGAGACAUCGACGGACCGUCGCAGUUGUGACGGACCUUCGUAUUCAUCCGUCGUACCAGGUAAUUUUUUUUGUUAUUUUGAAACUAGGGAACACGCAACGGAACAAACGACGGGUCUUCUCAAGUGCGACGGUCCAUCGUCGGGGAACCGUCGCGUGAUUAAUGAGGUAUACCCGACCCGACCCGGCGGAACCCUUUUUCAAAAUCAGAACGUUUAAACCCCCCAACCCCUCAUUUCACCCCCAUUACUUCAUUAUUCCUCUCAUCUCCGCUCUCUUUUCAACUUCCACACUCUCUCAACCACCGAUCAUUGCCCUCUCACAAUUCUCCAAAGCUCUAAAGUGUUGUCUACUAGUGGAAACUGCUGAUGUGAGUGUCUACCUUGUCACCGAGUACGUGUGCAUUUGUUUUUCUCCAUUUCUAAGGUAUGUGCCUCUAAUUUAUACUCAUUUAUCUUGCAUUGUUGUUUACUAGUUAGUAUUAUGCUUAGAUACUCAUCGAAUGUUGUUUACUUUAGACUAUUCUCUCUAACCUAGGUCACAAAUGUUUGAAAUUGCCAUGUUUACCACCCUAGACAUAGGUGCUUUUGCUUUGCUAGUUUCCUAGGUAGUUGGGUUAGUCACAUGUAAGUCCAAAACACUACAAGGUUGAUGUGGGUUCAAAGGGGAUGCUUAGGGUACCCUUAGUUCUGUCAUGGUUAUUCAGAACGAGACCCCGAUGACGGACUGUCGUACCUAUGACAGACCGUAGUAGGUUCCAUUGCAAAAGCCCUAACACCCCUAUCCCAAUGGACACAUGUGACGGAUCGUCGUACUCGCGAUGGUCCGUCCUGCAUAACCGUCAUGCUAGACAGAGACCCUGUUUCUAAGGGUCUCUCAUUUUUCCUCAAGUGUUCCCCAACAGACACAUGUGACGGACCGUCGUCUUCACAACGGUCCGUCCUGCACAACCGUUCUGGUUGUCAGAGACCCCUCUCCUCAGGGUCUCCAUUUUUUCCCAAGUGUCCUACGACGGACAUAUAUGACGGACAAUCGUACUUGUGACGGUCCGUCCUGCACAUACCGUCAUGCUAGUCAGAGAAUCUCCUUCAGGGUUUUCUAUAUAUACAUAGUCUAAGUUAAACACGACGGACCUCAUGACGGUCCGUCAUAGUCACGACGAGCCGACACCUGGCCCAUCGUGUGUCACUGCUUCUACAGCAAUGACAUACUAUUUUUAAUGUUUUAUUUCGUCUGGUUUCGCGUGUCUUGUUUGCCACUACUCGUACUAAUAUUGAUUAUUUGCAGGUACUACCUACUAUGGCACCUAAGCAAGACCGAAGCUACGCACGUGGCGAUCAAAGUCUGUCGCCCCGUCUGCAUGCAUGAUCAUUGGCUCUGAUGAUGAGCGGGACCCUGAGUAUGUGCCCCCAGGCACUUCCACACCUUCCCGUGCUGCACGUGCUCGAAGAGCCACACCCAAAAAGGUGGCGUCCGGCGUAGUCACUGCCUCCCAGUAUGAUGAGGAGCGCACACUGACCGGCACACCCUCUGGGUCAGCCACAAAUGAGGAAGGAGCGUCUAGCUCCUUGUGAGUAUCCUGGUCCGAGGAAGCCUCUGACUCAGCUGAGGUUCCCGCCCUUGCCACUGCUGCAGCAUCGGCCUCGUUUGAUAAGGCUGAAACUUCAGACUCUACAUCCGGCUCACCAGCUUAGGUCCCCACUCCAGCCACUGACCAACCCAACCGGUGGAGUGUCGACGGGCAGUUUCAAGUCUAAUCUGAUGCCAAGUUCCUGACUUAUAAAAGAGUAAUGGCAGGAACACUCACCAUGGAGCGGCGGGUACUUACAGGGAGUCUCCCAACGAUGCUGGAGAUCAACAACCUCUUCACCAGGCAUCGCUUAGAGUGGACAGCACGUCCUUUGGGAUGAUACAGCGAGGAAAUGGUCCGAGAGUUCUACGCAUCCUACGUAGUGACUCUCUGAUCACAGAUCGAUAGGCGGGCUUCUCCCGCUAAACAGGCCCCACUGGAGCAGGUUCGAGUCUGAGGUGUGCAGGUUGACAUUUCCCUGCCAGCCAUUCGCCGGUUUCUAUACGGCGAGAGUGCAGAUGCUACUCGGACCCCCAUCACUGCCGAGUUUGACUACCGCUGGCAGAUAGUAAAGCAUGGACAGUUCUUGCGCGAGCCAGCACUGAGAAAGACCACGAAGAGGUGGAUGGCCCUGCACCUGUCAGUAGAUAGAGAGGGUGCCGAUUGGGUGAUUGAGCCGAAAGGGGCCAUCAAGAAGGCCAACCUCACAUUCACAGCAAAGUUCAUGUGGCUGCUUGUCCGUCACUGCCUUUCCCUCACAGGUGCUGAUGACGUAGUUACCUGGGAUCGAGCAGUGUUGAUGGCGGCGAUGAUAGCCGAAUUCGAGGUGGACUUCGCAUGACUUCUUUAGGCAGUCAUGCAUGAGAGGGCAUUCAAGGUCACUACUACCUACCCUUUCCCGUGCAUGAUCUUUGCCCUUUGCAGGUCCGCAGGUGUGGCCAUAUGGCACGUAGAUCAGCUUAAGACCCCGCAGGGCACUGUAGACGUCGGUCUCAUCAGAGACGAGGCCAAUGAGUUGUCUCCACGCAGAGGACCCCGUCUAGAGCUGCCCCCACUUGCUGAUGAUCUUGCUGAUACGGUAGCCCUGGCCCGCACAGCUACACAGGCGUCCACUGACACUACCCCGGUCGAGUCUAUCCUGGGUAGUAGCACAGCCCCGAUCUCCUUUCGCACAGCCCCUCUACCGACACUGGUCCCUCUUGCAAGGGUCCAAAAACUAAACGCACAAAUGUCCACUCUUCUGCAUCAUAUCCAGUCAUGGGUGCAGAGGUCGAUCACUGAGUCCGAAGAGCGUCUAGAGAGGAAGAUGAUGCAGUUUAUAGAGCGGAAGAUCGCUGAGGUUAACCAGUAUCUGGACACCUUUGAGUUGAGAGUGCUAGUCCAACCAGCCCCUCCGGUGGAUGUGUCGACUCUUCAGGCUGCAGUCGACAGUCUUCGUGCAGACAUCGACAAGAUCUUAGAGGCUAGGGUGCUGGAGCAUGAGGCCCCUUCUGUCGAGCAUGCUGAGGACACCAUGUUGGCAGCCCUUUUUGCUAAUUUAGAAGUUCCACCACCUCCCCCUCGAGAGAGUGCCAAGAGGCAUAGGUUUCGAUCAGAGGACGAGGCUCGAGCAAGGAAUAAGGAGCGCCGAGAGAUGGAGGCUGCGCGGAGAUCCUCCCUUGCUGAGUAGGAGGCGAACCGAAUGAGAGCAUCUGAGUUAGCAGUUGGGGCGUGUAGCUCCCGCACUGUGGAGAUAGCAGGAGGCACUACUGAUGGUGCGGUUGUUGCUGAAGACACCACUGAGGGUGUCCAGAUUGCAGAGGACGUGGGUUUCGGGGAACCGAACCCACCAUCUUGCUGAUCGAUGGCGCUUUGCGCCACAGGUUUGCUUCACCUACCACUCUUGUAUUAAGGUUUUUAUGCAUCGAGGAUAAUUGCAUGCCUUUUUGUUGGUGGUAGGGUAAAUGGAUAGUGAGUGUUAGGGUGAAGUCUGAGUAGCCCAAUUCACUAUCUUCUUUUGGGGUUUUCUUACCUGUGUUCUUUUCCCCCCAAAAGACUGAUUACUUUUUCUAUUGAACCGGCAUGUUUAUAUCUUUUGUACAUAGUUUAAGUGUGAAGCAUGAUGGCUAAAAUGUUAUCCUGAUAAACUAGAAAAUAAUGCAUGACUAGGCAUAGUAACUAAUAAUUGUGUGACUCUAAGCAUGAAACAGAGUUAUACAAUUGCAUUACCCUAAGUCUUAAAUUCAAACUAGGUGUCUGAUAAUCUGGUAUAGUGAUGAGAUGUCAAGUGAGUGUGAGGAAAUUUGAAUAGUCCACUAUUGGUACUGAGCUAGAACUUGCCUGGUUAGUUCUGCUAAAAGUAAGCUGUAAUAGACAAUUAGGAAAGGAUCAUAGGCCCUUAUUCAAUAUAGCCCAUUUCUAGCCUAAAGAAAAGAAACCAAAUGAAAUUUAUCCUUCUUUGAUCCAAAUAAUCUGAGCUUAAAAUUUGACCUUUCUUUUUCACCCAAACUGAUCUUUUCUUGGAAUAAUGUGUUGGCCCUGGUCCCUCCUUGGACAUGUGCACCUCAGCUUAUGCCAAAAGCAUAAGUUGAGGGUGUCUAAUGCAUAAACAACCUUCGUUAUGGUGCUGACCCGACUUUGGGUAUUGUGUACCUUGACUCAUAGCAAAGCCAUGAGUUGAGGGUGGCUACUAUGAGGAAUGCUCUGGAAAGUGGGGUUGAAAGAGCAAAGAGAGAGAAAGAACAAAAGUAAAAUGACUCAAGAAUUAUAUGAAAAGAAAAUUAUAGAAAACAAAAAAUACAAGCAAGAAAAGAGGAGAGUCACUUACACAAAUGAAGAAAGAAGAGAAAAUAGCAAGGUGAAAGAAUAUGAGAAACUGGGCAAGAUGAAACGAGAGACAGUGGAAGGUGUAGCCGAUAUGUCAAGGAGGUCAAAAAGUCACUAAAGUAUACUAAAAUAUAUCUUACCUAACCUCGAGCCUAUGUUACUUGCUAAAAAAGUCCUACCGUGAUCCUAAGGGUUGUAUAGCGAACUUAAGGCAGUGAAAAUAAGGGCAAGCUUAUGGCAAAAGGUAUGAAUGAGUGUGACUUUGUUCUAAGAGUGAGUGUUGAAAAGUAAUCCUUAUACUCAAACUUAAAUCAUUGUGUGAAAAAGGAGGAUUUUGUUUUAAAGUGAGGACACUAGUUACAAUACCGAAAUUGUUAGCACCUCGGUGAGAAAUUGAAGAGGAUAUGUGUUAGUGCGUUGUGAGUCUGUGUCAUGUUCUGAUCCCACAAAAUUCAAGCCUAAUAGUGAUAGCAUGCAUAGAUGUGAUGAGAUUAAUCGGGAUUGAUAGCCAAAUGAUUGCAAAGGAUAAAACAUGGAUACUAUUGUACAAAGUUUGUGUAGUGAGUCAUAGUGCGUCGCUUGAGGACAAACAAAGAAUAUAAGUUGAGGGUGUUGAUAUACCGUGGUUUCAUAGUAUUAUUAAUACUUUUUCCUUAAGUUUAGUAUGUCCAAAAGCCUUUUUGUGCUAAUUUUUAUAUAAAUUUCUCUUUGUUUUGCAGUAAUCUGUCCAAAGCUGAAUGCGGAGAUUUUCAGCGAGGAAUUGCAGAAGAGACCACCUACGGAGCGUAUGACGUUCCGUCGUACUUGUCAUGGUCCGUGGGUGGAUGCGUAGUGCAGCUGCUGAAGGAAGAUGGGGAAGUCUGACCAAGUGUGGGAUUACGAAGCUUGUGACGGUCCGUCGUGGCUUUGACGGUCCGUCCUGCAGGUUCGUCGUAAAGAUCAGAGAAGUGAUCCCAGAACCCAGAGUCCAAGAGUUGAAGUGUUUUGGAACGAGACCCUCGACGGACCAUUGUGCCUAUGACGGUCCGUCAUACAUGCCGUCGAGGGGAAUGAAGAUAGCAGCAGAAGAAAUUGCACAAGUAUGGGACGACGGAGUCCAUAACGGUCCGUCGUGACCGCGACGAUCCGUCGUGACCGCGACGAUCCGUCGCCUGGUCCGUUAACCCAACCGCAUUUUGACAAAUUUCAAGCAAUUAGAAUCCUUGUUUAAUUAGGUUUUUGUUUUUUAUAAAUAGUUUGAAAAACCUCGUUUUUGAGGUUAGACUCUGUUAGGUUAGACUCUAUGAGAUUAGACAUCAGAUUUUUAGACUUUGUGUAUUAGUGUUGGAUUUUGAGAUUCUUGCAAGUGAUUUUUGGACAUUAAUCAAGCAAACUUUGGAUUUUAUUCUUUCUCAUUGAAGUAAGUACAUGAAUUCGUAUUUAAUAUAUUUGAAUAUUGUGUUUAUGGCUAUGAGUAACUAAACUCCAUAACUAGGGUUCUGGGAACCAUAGGAAAAUAAUGACAUAAACCCAAACUAAAAUAACAAUUCUAGAUUAGUGUCUUGCAUAUAUUAAUAAUUCUUUCGCUUAAAAGUCUUUCUAACGGAUGGCCAACGUUAGGACUCGCCUUAAUGCUUGGUGUAUAGAUUUAGUGUAUACUAUCUAAUAGGCUAUAUUGAUUGGUACGCGGUACUUAGUCAAAUAUCGAAUACGAUGCUUAAUAUGAGGUAAGGAUAAUAGUUAGGAUAGCAACACACUUAGCUGGACCAAGGUACGUAGUGAGAUUUUCUAGAUGCCGGACCAAGGAUUUAGAUAUACAUAACUUAUCACUUUGCAUGCAAGAUACUAGGAAAGAAUUGUUAUAGUUGGAAUUAUCAAGUUAUGAACCUGUGGGGAACACGUAAACCCUAGUUACUUUGAUUAAUUGAUUAAAACCUAACAUUCAAAAGCUGUUAAGUGUCUCUGUCAAGUUCGUUAUUUAUUUUACUCAUUUACAAAUAGAAACCCCCCUUUAUUGUUUUUAGUUUCCAAGGAAGUCAUUGACCAAACAAUAGUAAUAACAGGUUGAAGUUAAGUAUAGACUAUUUUCCUUGUGGGAACGAUCCCAACCUCACUAGUUGGGUUAUUUACUUGACACGACCGCUUUACUUCUUAUUUGAGAAGUAAGUUUGAGCGUAUCACUAAACCACCACCUUCUAAUGAUGAAUGUUAUUAUGCGGAGGACACUUAUGCAGUAAAUGAGCAGACGGGGGGUUUCCGACCAAGCGCCCAAGGCUCAAAUUAGGAUAACUGGCGCCAAGGUCAAGGGAACCAAGAACAGAACUAUGGUUACUACAACCGCGAGGGUCACUAUGUCUGAGAUGGAAACUACAACUGCGACAAUAACUUUAACAGGGGUCUAUGCUAAUCGAAACGACCGGAAUAGGCCCUAUGUUCCUCCUCAAAAUCGUGAAAUUACUCCUAGGGAUGGUGGAGAUAGUAUGGCCCGAGUUGAGGAUAUGUUGCACAAAAUGAUGAGGAGGUUCGAUGCUAGUGAUGAGCAUAUUAAAGAUUUGAGGUGUGAUUUAGCUAGUAUUGGGCAAAAAGUUGAUACACAUGCAAUUUCGAUUAAGCAGAUCUAGUUGCAAAUGGCCCAAUUAUCUGCGACAGUGAACACACGGAAACCGGGCACUCUUCCUGGCAACACUGUUCAAAAUCCAAAGAAUGAUGCGCACUGUAUGACAAUCACUACUCAGGGUGGUAAGCAAACUAUUGACCCACCUAUGCCGUCUACUGAGGAAAAUGUGAGAAAGGAUAGUGAUAAUGUGGUAAAGGGUAGUGGUGAAGCAGAGGAAAGUAAUGGAAAAGAUGCAGAAGUACCUAUGAAGGUAAUUCCCAUGCCUAGGACACCACCACCUUUCCCUCAGAGAUAAGUGAAAAAGACCAAGGAUGAUAAAUAACGGUGUUUCAUAACAAUGUUGAAUCAGCUUUCUAUCAAUGUCCCUUUGGUAGAAGCUCUAGAACAAAUGCCCGGUUAUGUCAAAUUUAUGAAAGAUUUGGUCACCAAGAAAAGAUCGGUAACUUUUGAGGAUGAUGAUAGAUUGCAGCAUUGUAGUGCUAUUGCUACAAGAUUCCUCGUACAAAAGACAGAAGAUCCGGGUGCGUUCACUAUUCCUUGUACACUUGGGUCAUUACAUUUUGCGAAAGCACUAUGUGAUUUGGGGGCAAGCAUAAAUCUCAUGCCCCUCUCAAUUUACAAGAAGUUGGGUUUGGGGGAUCCAAAACCCACUGCGAUGCGGCUACUGAUGGUUGAUUGACAGUGAAACGGCCUAUAGGGAUACUCCAUGAUGUGCUAGUAAAACUAGAGUCAUUCAUCUUUCCGGCUGAUUUUGUUAUUCUUGAUUGUGAGGUCGAUUUUGAAGUGCCUAUUAUUCUUGGGAGACCAUUCCUUGCUACAGUUAGAGCCUUAGUUGAUAUGGAGAAGGGGCAGAUGAAAUUUUGGUUGAACAAUGAAGAAGCGACCUUCAACGUUUGUAGGACCAUGAGGCAGAGUGGUGAGCUCCAAUUGGUAUCAGCCAUAUCCCACAAAGAAAAGAUGAAGAAAUAGAAUGAAGAAAAAAGUGCAAAACAAGAGUUUUUGGUUGGGGAUUUGGUGCUUGUAGACAGUUCUGGGUGCCUUGUCUUCCGGGCAAGCUCAAGUCCAAAUGGACUGGCCCUUACUUGAUUACCCAAGUAUUCCCUCAUGGAGCAGUUGAGUUAAAAUCCGAGGAAGUGCGGUUUGAGGUUAACUGAGAAUGAAUAAAACUCUAUUUUGGGCAUAAAGCAUCGGGGAAUAAAGUAAUAGAGUCAAACCAUCUUGAUGAAGGCUGAGUAAUCUAGUGUCCCUAGUCGUGCCGCGACAUGAAAUCAGGCGCUUGUUGGGAGGAAACCCAAUACUUAUAGUCUUUUUACUAAUGGUAGCCUUUUUCUACUAAUGGGUUUUUAAAUUUGUAGUCACAUCACCAGGAAAUUCUGCAGAAAAUUACUCUGCAGCAGCCACUGACGGAUACAUCGAUGGACCGUUGCACCUGCGACAGACCGUCGUAUGCCUCCAUCAUAUCAGGUACGUUUUUCUGUCAUUAUAAAACUAGGGAACACACGACGAAUCGUCACAACUGAGACGGACCGUCGUCGCGGAGUCGUUGCAUAAUUAAUGAGUCGUACCCGACCCGACCCGGCUAGAGUCUUUUUCAAAAUCAGACCGUUUAAACCCCCAACCCCUCAUUUCACCCCAUUCCUUCAUUUUACCUCCCAUUUCCCUUUCUUUUCAACUUCCACAUUCUCUCCCUCGAUCAUUGUUCCCCCAAAAUUCUCCAAAGCCCUAGAAGUUAUCAUCUACUAGUCGGAGUUGGUGCUGUGGGUGUCUUCUUGUUCAUAGAGUACUUGCCCAUCUUGUUUUUUCUCCAAUUCUAAGGUAUGUGUAUCUAAUUUCUACUCAUUUAUCUUGCAUUUUUGUUUAUUAAUUAGUAUUAGCUUAGUUCUUCAUCAUAUGUUUGUCUCUUUUAAAAGAUUCUGUCUAACCUAGGUUAAAAAUGUUUGAAAUUGCCGUGUUUAUAACCCUAGACAUAGGUGCUUUUGCAUUGCUAGUUUCCUAGGUAGUUGGGUUAGACAAAUGUAGGUCCAAAACACUACAAGUUUGACCAGGGUUCAUUGGGGAUGCAUGGGGUACUCCCAGUUCUGUCACUGAUAUACAGAAUGAGACCCCGAUGACGGACCAUCGUACCCACGAUGGACCGUCGUAGGGUUUGUUCCAAAAGCCCUAGCACCCUUUUCCAACGGACAUAUGUGACGGGCCGUCGUCUGGUUGUUAGAGACCCAAUUUCUAAGGGUCUCUCAUUUUUUUACAAGUGUUCCCGAACGGACACAUGUGACGGAUCGUCGUCUUCACGACGGUCCGUCCUGCACAACCGUUCUGGUUGUCAGAGACCCUGUUUCUAAGGUUCUCUCACUUUUUCUAAGUGUCCUUCAACGGAAACAUGUGACGGACCGUCAUAUACCCACUACGGUCCGUCCUGCAUGACCGUCAUGACUGUCAGAGACCCCUGUCCUAAAGGUCUCCAUAUUUUUUUCAAGUGUCCUACGACGGACACCUAAGACGAACUGUCAUACCUGUGACGGUCCAUCCUGCACAUAACGUCAUACUAGUCAGAGACUCUUCUUCAGGGUUCUCCAUAUAUACGUAGUUUAAGUAAAACACGACGGAGCCCAUGAUGGUUCGUCAUAGUCACGACGAACAGUCACCAGGCCCGUCGUGUGUCCCUGUUACCAUAGUAAUGACAUACUAUUUUAAUUGUUUCUGUGGUUUUUCUUGUCUUGUUUGCCACUUCUCAUACUAAUAUUGAUCCUUUAAAGGUACUAUCUACUAUGGCACCCAAGCAAGACCGAAUCUACGCACGCGGGCGAUCGUAGUCUGUCGCCCCGUCUGCCCGCAUGGUCAUUGGCUCAGAUGAUGAGCGUGACCCCGAGUAUUUGCCCCCAGGAACUUCCACCCCUUCCCGUGCUGCACGUGCUCCAAAAGCCACACCCAGAUAGGUGGCGUCUGGCGUAGUCACUGCCUCCCUGUCUGAUGAAGAGCGCACACUGACCGACACACCCUCUGCGUCAGCCACAAAUGAAGAUAGAGAGUUUGGCUCCGUAGGACUAUCGUGGUCAAAGGAAGCCUCUGGCUCUGCUGAGGUUCCCGCACCCGCUGCCGCUGCAGCGUCGGCCUCAUUUGAUGAGGCUGACAGUUCAGAAGCCACAUCAGGUUCACCAUCUUAGGUCCCCAACCCAGCCACUGACCAGCCCAACUGGUCGUGUGUCAACGGGCAAUUUCAAGUCUACUCCGAUGCCAAGUUCCUGACUGAUAAAGGAGUGAUGACUCGAACACUCACCUUGGAGCGGCGGGUCCUUACAUGGAGUCUCCCGACGAUGCCUGAGAUCCACAAUCUUUUCACAGGCAUCGCUUGGAGUGGACAACAUGUCCGUUGGAACAUUACAAUGAAGAAAUGGUCCGAGAGUUCUACGCAUCCUACGUAGCGACUCUCCGAUCACAGAUCGAUAGGCGGGCCGCCCCCGCUAAACAGGCCCCACUAGAGCAGGUCCGAGUACGGGUUCUAUACGGCGAGGGUGUUGAUGCUACUCGGACCCCUUUCACUACCGAGUUUGACUACCGCUGACAGAUAGUUAAAGAUGGCCAGUUCCUACGCGAGCCAUCACUGAAAGACCACAAAGAGGUGGAUGGCCCUACACCUAUCAGUUGAUGGAGAGGGUGCCGACUGGGUAACUGAGCCAAAGGGGGCCAUCAAGAAUGCCAACCUCACUUUCACGGUGAUGUUCUUGUGGCUGAUUGUCCGUUACUGACUUUCCCCCACAGCUGCUGAUAAUAUCGUUACAUGGGAUCGAGUAGUGUUGAUGGCGGCGAUGAUAGCCGGGUUCGAGGUGGACUUUGCGUUGCUUCCACAAACAGUGAUGCACGAGAGGGCUUUCAAGUUCACUACUACUUACCCUUUCCCGUGCAUGAUCUUUGCUCUCUGCAGGUCCGCAGGUGUGCCUAUAUGGCACGUAGAUCAGCUCAAGACCCCUCAGGGCACUGUUGACGUUGGCCUCAUUAGAGAUGAGGCCAAUGAGUUGUCUCCACGCAGAGGGCCCCAUCCACAGCUGCCCCCACUUGCUGAUGAUCUUGCUGACAUGGUAGCCCAGGCCCGCACGGCUACACAGGCGGCGUCCACUGACACUACCCCGGUCGAGUCUAUCCCGGGUAGUAGCACUGCCCCGAGCUCCUCUCGCAUAACCCCUCUACCAGCACUGGUCCCGCUUGCUAGGGUAAAAAAAUUAGAGGCACAAAUGGCUACACUUCUGCAUCAUGAGUCAAAAGAGAGCCUAGAGCGGAAAAUAGUCCAGUAUACAGAGCAGAAGAUCGUUGAGGUUCACUAGCGCUUGGACGCCUUUGAGUUGAGGGUGUUAGCCCGACCAGCCCCUCCGAUGGAUGUGUCAACUCUUAAGGCUGUAGGUGACAGUAUUCGUGCAGAUAUUGACACGAUCUUAGAGGCUAGGGUGCCGGAGUCUUAGGCCACUUCUGUCGAGCCUGCUGAAGACACAGUGUUGGCGGCCCUAUUUGCCACUUAAGAGAUUCCACUACCUCCCCCUCGAGAGAAUUCCAAGAGGCAUAGGGUCGAGCAGAGGACGAGGCACGAGCACGGAAGAAGGAGCGCCGAGAGAUGGAGGCUGUGAAGAGAUCCUCACUUGCUGAGGAGGAGGCGCACCAAAUGAGAGCAUCUGAGUUAGCAGUUGGGGCAUCUAGCUCCCACACUGUGGAUAUAGCAGGAGGCACCACUGAUGGUGCGGUUGUUGCUGAGGACACCACUGAGGGUGUCAAGAUUGCAGAGGACGUGGGUUCCGGGGAACCGGACCCACCAGCUUGCUGAUCUACAGUGCUUUGCGCCGCAGGUUUGCUUCACCUACCACUUUAGUAUUUAAAUUUUUAUGCAUUGGAGACAAUUGCAUGUUUUUUGUUGGGGGUGGGGUAAAUGGAAAGUGAGUGUUAGGGUGAAGUCUGAGUAGCCCAAUUCACUAUUCUCUUUUGGGGGUUUUUUGCAUGUGUUUUUUUCCCCAAAAGACUGAUUACUUUUUCUGUUGAACCGCCAUGUUUAUAUCUUUUGUACAUAGUUUAAUUCUGGAGCAUGAUGGCUAAAAUGAUAUCCUAAUAAACUGGAAAAUGAUGCAUGACUAGGCAUAGUAACUGAUAAUUGUGUGGCCCUAAGCAUGACAUAGGGGUACACCAUUGCAUUACCCUAAGUCUAAAAUUUGAACUAGGUGUCUGAUAAUCUGGUAUAGUGAUGAAAUGUCAAGUGAGUGUGAGGAAAAUUCAAAUAAUCCACUAUUGGUACUGAGCUAGAACUUGCCUGGUUAGUCCUGCUAAAAGUAAGCUGUAAUAGACAAUUAGGAAAGGAUCAUAGGCCCUUAUUCAAUAUAGCCAUUUCUAGCCUAAAUAAAAGAAACCAAAUGAAAUUUAUCCUUCUUUGAUCCAAAUGAUCUGAGCUUAAAUUAGACCUUUCUUUUUCAUCCCAACUGAUCUUUUCUGGGAACAAAUUGUUGGACCUGGUCCCUCCUUGGACAUGUGCACCUCAGCUUAUGCCAAAAGCAUAAGUUGAGGGUGGCUAAUGCAGUAAACAACCUUCGUUAUGGCCCUGACCCAACUUUGGGUAUUGUGUACCUUGACUCAUGGCAAAGCCAUGAGUUGAGGGUGGCUAUUAUGAAUUCUCUGGAAAGUGGGGUUGAAAGAACAAAGAGAGAAAAAGAACAAAAGUAAAGUGACUCAAGAAUUAGUCGAAAGAAAAGUAAAGAAAAAGAAAAAUAUACAAGAAAUACAAGCAAGAAAAGAAGAGAGUCACUUACACAAAUGAAGAAAGAAGAGAAAAUAGCAAGGUGAAAGCAUAUGAGGAAAUGGGCGAGAUAAAAUGAUAGAAAGUGAAAGGUUUAGUCGAUAUGUUAAGGAGGGCAAAAAGUCACUAAAGUAUACCUAAAUAUACCCUACCUGACCCUGGGCCUAUGUUACAAGCUAAGAAAGUCCUAUCGUGAUCCUAAGGGUUGUAUAGCAAACUUAAAGCAGUAAAAAUAAGGGUAAGCAUAUGGCAAUAAGUAUGAAUGAGUGUGACUUUGUUAUGAGAGAGAGUGUUGAAAAGUAAUCCUUAUACUCUAACUGAAAUCAUUGUGUGAAAAAGGAGGAUUUUGUUUUGAAGUGAGGACACUAGUUGCAAUACCGGAAUUUUUAGCACCUCGGUGAGAAAUUGAAAAGGAUAGGUGUUAGUGCAUGGUGAGUCUGUGUCAUGUUCUGAUCCCACAGAAUUCAAUCCUAAUAGUGUUAGCAUUCAUAGAUUUGAUGAGAUUAAUCGGGAUUGAUAGCCAAAUGAUUGCAAAGGAUAAACCAUGGGUACUAUUGUACAAAGAUUUUGUAUGGAGUCAUGGUGCGUCGCUUGAGGACAAACAACGAAUUUAAGUUAAGGGUGUUGAUAUACCGUGGUUUCACGGUAUUAUUAGUACAUUUUCCUUAAGUUUAGUGUGUCCAAAAGUCUUUUUGUGCUAAUUUUUAUAUAAGUUUCUUUUUAUUUUGCAGGAAAUUUGUCUAAAGCUGAAUGCGGAGAUUUUGAGUGAAGAAAUGCAGAAGAGACCACCUACGGAGCUUAUGACGGUCUGUCUUGUUUGAGACGGUCCGUAGGUGGCAACGUAGUGCAGUUGCUGAAGGAAGAUGGGGAAGUCUGACCAAGUGUGGGGUUACGAAGCUUGUGACGGUCCGUCGUGUCUAUGACGGUCCGUCCUGUAGGUUCAUCAUGAAGUUCAGAGAAGUAAUCCAGUACCCAUAUUCCAAGAGUUGAAGUGUUUUGGAACGAAGACCCUCGACGUACUGUUGUGCCUAUGACGGUCCAUCAUACUUGCCGUCGAGGGUAAUGAAGAAGAGCAGCAGAAGAAAUUGCACAAGUAUGGGACGAUGGAGUCCAUGACAGUCCGUCGUGAUUAUGACGAUCCGUCACGAGGUCCGUCGACCCAGCCGCGUUUUGGCAGAUUUCCAUCAAAUAGAGUCCUUGUUUAAUUAGGUUUUUAUUUAUUAUAAAUAGUUUGAAAACCCUCAUUUUUGGGGUUAGACCCGGGAUCAGUGUUAGACUCUGGAUCAUUGUUAGACUCUAUAUUGUUAGACACCAUAUUAGUAAACAUUGUAUUGUUAGACUUUUGGUUAUCAUUGAUUGUUGGUGAUUUUUGGUGAUUAAUCAAGAAAACUCUCGGAUUUUACUCUUUCACAUUGAAGUAAGUACAUUAAUUCUUAUUUUAAUAUAUUUGAAUAUUGUGAUUAUGACUAUGAGUAAUUAAACUCCAUAACUAGGGUUGUGGGAACCACAGACAAAUAAUGAGAUAAAACCUAACUAAAAUAACAGUUCUAGAAUGGUGUCUUGAAUGUAUUAAUAAUUCUUUCGCGUAGAAGUCUUUUUAACGGAUGACCAACGUUAGAACUCGCCUUAAUGCAACUUGCCGGACCAAGGAGGUAGAUAAUAGGAAAAGAAUUAUCAACAUAGAUUUAGUGUAUACUAUCUAAUAGGCUAGUAUUGAUUGGUACGAGGUAAUAACUUAGUCAAAUAUCGAAUACGAUGCUAAAUAUGAGGUAAAGAUAAGGGUUAGGAUAGCAACACACGUAGCCGGACCAAGGUGCGGAGUGAGAUUUUCUAGAUGGAGGACCAAGGAUUUAGAAAUACAUAACUUAUCACUUUGCAUGCAAGAUACUAGGAAAUAAUUGUUAUAGUUAGAAUUAUCAAGUUAUGAACCUGUGGGGAACACGCAAACCGUAGUUAUUUUGAUUAAUUGAAUAAAAUCCAACAUUCAAAGCUGUUAAGUGUCUCUUUCAAUUGCGUUAGUUAUUUUCAUUCAUUUAGAAAUAGAAACCCCCCUUUUAUUGUGUUUACUUUCCAAGGAAGUCAUUGACCAAACAAUGGUAAUAACAGGAUGAAGUUAAGUCUAGACUAUUUUCCUCGUGGGAAUGAUCCCAACCUCACUAGUUGGGUUAUUUACUUGACACAACCGCUUUACUUCUUAUUUGAGAAGUAAGUUUUAAGCGUAUCAACCACUCCUGCGAGACAAUGUAGAAAACAUGAAUGUGUUGAUGAGAUUCUCCAGCACUGAACAUCAAUUGGCUGAUAUAUUCACAAAGUCAAAAGUAAAGUUUUCUUAAAAAUAGACUGAGACUUGGAAUGGUUAAGCUUGCAUAACUCUCGAACAAGACUAUUAAGGAGAUCUAAAAUGGCUAUGCUUAGGAGGACAUGUAUCUAUGUUCUAAUAAACAUUACGUGCUUGAGAAUUCACGAUUUGUACCUUACUGCAGGUAUACACUCAUGGUAUGAAUAGCUGAGGAGAUGAUGAAACCACACAAAAAUUGGGCAGACAAAUCAUAAGGGGGAUCUGGUCCCUUACAAUGAUAGUAUCAUUUAAUACUACACUGACAAAUGUCUACAUCAUCACCUCGUGUCUUCGUCUUAUUAGUCUCAUCAGUUUCAAAUAUCCUUUCUUUUUGAAAAUGAAGAGUCGACACUGUUUAGGACCCGAUUCCAUCUUGUUUUAAAUAUUUUAGUUUCUCCUCAACAAACUUAAAAAAUAAUUCUAUACUCUUGCUUUCUGAUUAAUUUUUUCUUUCUCUUGCCUUCUAUUUCUCAAAAUGUCUAAGUCUAAUUCUUCUUUGCAAGCCUAUAUCUCUCCAAAAAUCGAAAAACCCAGUUCAUUCAAUUUCUCCAUCCCCGUUCGAAAGAGUCGUCAUUUCUCCAUCCCCGUUCUAAAGAGUCGUCGUUAACCCCUCUGUGUGAAAAUAGAACACAAGUAAGACCUGUAUCUCCUGUAAAUCCAGUUGAAGUUCGAUUUGCUCAUCCUAGAAUGGACGGAGUAUCGUGUACCCCUACACUGGUGUUGUUUGAGAAAAAUUCUCAUACAUCUGAAGCAUAAUUAGUGCCUAAACCAAGUUCUAAACAAGGUUCUGAUGAAAUCGAGGGUGCUUAGAUGGUAGUUUCAUCGUCAAUAACUGAAAGGUUGUUUAAAGGUGAUCUUCAUGAGGGAAAAAGGCCAGAAUCUUGCAUUCUCAAAGCACGAGCUUAAUUGGUGGAAAUACAAAGUGUGUCCUCACUUAGGGAUGACUCCCAUACCUUGUUGUUGAAUGAGACGUUUAGGUCGCCAGAUCAGGUUAUCACUAAAAGUCAACCUAUCUUUGAUAACACUCACAAGUCUUUUGAUGUGGAAUCUGAAGGGGAGGAAGAGGAGGAAGAAGUGCUUUUACGAUGGAAGAGGCAAGGAAUGAGGGGAAGCAUUCAUUCUCUUGUUAGUUGUCAAGAACAAGAAAUUAGGUUGGGAAACACGGACGAUAUGGAGUACACUCAUACUGAUAGUGAUGAGGAAAGAAAGAGAAAAGGGAAAGGAAAGUUGAUUAAAUCUAAUGUGAAGGAAGGUAAACGGAAAUAUGGCACUCGAAGUGCCACACAAAAGGUGUUGGGUAGUGCUAUGGCGGCAAAUGUUGUACAAACACAAAGAAGAAGACAACAAAGAAUUCAAGGGUUAACUUAAGAGGACCCCGUUGUUGACCCGAUCCCCGUCGAGGAUAGUGGUUCAAAGUAAGAGGAUGUUGCCAAAUCUGUGGCAAAACGAAGAAGGGGAUCAGGAGGUGCAAAGGAGAAAGUUAAUGAGGGUCAAAAGAAUCUAAAGUAACCUCUAGUCAAGAAGGUUAAAAAGAAGAUAACCCAUAAGAAAAUAAAAUAUAAAGUUUCAUCUGUAAAUGAACCUGGUCCCCAAGGUAAAGUCUGAUGAAAUAUGACAUGACAAGAGAAAAAAGGGUUGAGAGAAUGAAACUGCAAAAGGUUUUGAAUGGUAGAGUAUUUGCUAAAGAUAUUCUGACAGAGCACGUCAUGGUAGCCCUUGUUGAUGCUGUUACUAUACAAGAAUGGGUACAUUUAUUUGAGCCUCUAGUCCCAUAUCUUCAUGAACCAGAAGUGCACGAGUUUUAUUACAACAUGGACUUUCUUGAUGAUGGGAGUAUUUUUACCUCCGCUAAAGGGGUAGAGAUAAGUCUUAGUGAGGAAACAUUGGGGAUCAUUCUGAGUGUGCCUACUGCUGAAAUUUGCUCAAUUGAAAGAUGUAGGCCCUUUACAGCAUUAACUGAACUAGCCUCAAAGAAGGGUGAACCUAAGCAGGCAGGGGUACAAAAAAAUAUCUCAAGGGAGAAUUGCAGUUGACCUUCGAGUUUGUUAACAAGGUCAUGGUUCCUAGGUCAGAGAAACGUACAGUUGUAUCUGCUGCUGAUCUUUUUCUGAUGGAAAAAUUGAGCGACCCUGAAGAGAUCAAUCUUCCAACAAUCAUGCUUGAGAACAUCCACCGUGUUAUGACUUGGAAAAUAUGGAAUCAUGGAAUUCCAUACGUCUAUCUUCUCAACUGGGUGUUCCAUCACUUUGAGGUGCCCUUAGGGAUGGGCGUACUAGAUACUUUCAAACAGAUGUUCUCAAAAACUACUCUCCAGGAUUGCGAGUGUAUUGAAGGGGAUGCACCAGGGUGCUCACAGGUUGCACAAUAUUGGAGAAACAGUCCGUUCUUAAGGGAAAAGUGGAUGAUCUAACUGUCUCUUGGCAGCUAAGAAAGUUGAGGUGGUCACUCUUAAGUCUGAACUUCAGAAAGUGAUCUCAAGAGGAACUGGUCCUAGUCAGGUUUAUGGCUCAGAGUUAAGAAAAUUGAGGACAAAAAAUGAUCACCUAAAAGCUACGAAUGCCUUACUAAGUGAGGAAGUUCAAGUUCUCAACAAGCAACUCAUUAAGGCUCAUGAAGAUGCAAAUGAGUGAGUGUUUCUGCUUUUGCGAACUCUUCAACCCUCCCCCCCCCAUCCUAAAUGUGUCCUAUUAUGUAUGUCCUUCUCAUUGUACUCUUUUCUUUUCAGUGGUGCGAUGCAGUUUUAAUGUUCAAUGGCCUGUAUUUAUUUGAUCGCAUCUUGAUGUUGUUUUAUGCAUAGUUUUUAUGUAUUUCUAUCAUCUCUUUUUGCUGACAUUCACAUGUUCUGUAUGUAUAGACCUACAUUCUCUUGUUCUUAUUUGUUUAUUUUUUCAAUUGUUUAUUGUCCCUCCUUCUUGAUGAUGUCAAAAGGGGGGAAAAUUGUAGUAGCCGUUCAGUUAAAGAUGCAUGGGAAUUAUGCCAUAGUUUAAGGGGGAAUUAUGGCAUGGUUUAAGGAGGAAUGAUGUCUGAUUGGAGAUGCAUGGGAAAGCAUGUUUUAAGGCGGAAUUAUGACGUGGUUUAAGGGGGAAUUAUGUCUGAUAUAAUGCUCUAUGUAUUUAUGAAUUAAUGUGUGUGAGGAACAAAUGCAGGUUGUUUUGUCAUCAUCAAAAGGGGGGAAAUUGACAGGAGGCUCUCCUCAAGAUGUUUUGAUGAUUCCUCACCAGUGCAGGGACCUGGUCCUUUGCAGAGUAUGAAACUAAUCCCAACUGUGAAAAGUACAAGACAACUAUAAAAGUUGUCUGCGUCAGAGAGGUCUGUGAGGAGCAGUGUACUUCGUCAAUCAGAAGUGACUAGGUCUUUUUGUUUGAUAGACAACAAAUCUUGAUGAUGUAUAUAAAACAAAACACAACACAUUAUUCAUUCAUUCAAAAAGAAAACCAUACCAGCAAACAUAAAAAAAGCAAGAUAUUGAUCAAAGGGCUUUCAGUUCUUCUUGUUAUUUGUUGGUCUCAUAUUUGCUUGUAAUUGUUCUAAAAUUGUAGGACUCGUUUCGAACUCGACAGAAACGUUUCAAAUCUUGGGUGUUUCAUUUUAAGGGAUUUAGUUACGGGUAACUAGGUUCUUAUUGAGUAUUGUUGUAUCUGCUCGUGCUUAGCUAAGUAAUAGGGUCUAUUGCUUAGUGAAGAGGCUAGAAGGUUAGUCUCUUAUUUUUUAACCGACUUUUACUUUUGCUUGUUGAAAUUAGUGAAACUUGGUUGUUGAAAAGUUCAGUCAAGAAUAGGUCGUGGUUUUACUCCCUUGAUCAAGGAGGUUUCCAUGUAAAAGUGAUUGUCUCGUUUACUUUCAGUCUUUGUGCUUUAUUUAUUGUAAAAUAUUGUUAAGGGGACCAGGUCCUAUCUAAUAUAAGUGAACGCAUACAUUCCAACAGUAAACUUAAAUUUCAAACGACAAGGGGGAAAAUCAAGGCAGUAACCUGUCAUUGACUAAGAAUAGAGUUUGAGAAGUAGCUAGUGACAAAUAAAUGCUAGUCAAGAUUAAAUGGGGCCACAACUACAACAAGCUUUCUAUCUAAUACAACAAUAGACUACAAAUGGGACAAUCAUGGGAUAUAAAAAGUUUCCCGACUUCGAACAAAGGAAAAAGGGGGGAGGAGUACAUGUCUUAGAAAUCUCCAAUGAAUUAACUCAAUACAGGAAUCAUAAUAUCAUUUAAAAGACAGAAAAGAAAUCUUUCGAGCUAGGCUAAGUACCAACUCGAUGAGACAAACAUUUAAGGGAUAAACUCAUAACAAUACCCACAAUAUAUAUUAAAGCUACAGAGUCAACGAUAUCAAAUUAGACGAAUUAAGAUUAACGAUUAGGCAAAGCUUGCAUCCGCCGGGCAGAUCCAAAGCUAAGACAACAACACAUUCCAAGGCUGUUAAAAUGCAUAAGACAUACAAGUAAGAAACGGUGAAGUACUCGAACACACCACGAUAUGCUACAUUGAAACAAAAUACAAGAGGAGCCGAGGUUACCUCUCUUGGAGCAUCGAGCUGGGACGUCAAGCUUGAGAAGGGCAACAAUUCUUCCAGCACGAAAUUCGAAUACGAACAACAAACCAAGAAAAUCUAAGAGGCGAUCUUUUCAGUAUUCAUACUCAGAAAACUAGUUAUAAAAUUUUAAAAGCGUAGAAGUGGAUAUUUCUCUUAGGAACUCAAACUCCAAAACCUCUAAGAUCCUCCCUUGGUUGAUGGUUAAGGGUAGUUUAUAUGGAGGAAAAGUUGAGGUCAAUUUAGGGGGGAAACCGUUGAGCAAAAAUUUAAAAUCUCUCUUUUUUCAAAGGCAAAUAGAGAAAGAUGUUGUGCAGCCUGUGGCUGCGCGAAAUAGGGAAAAAAAGAGACGAUUAGACACGAGGAUGACAGGCGUAUGGGCAUAUACUGAUGCGCCAAGUUUUGCUGGUGGAUUUUUGGAUUUGACAAGAUUUUUGGGUGAAGAAGACGAUAUCACUUUUGUUGUGCGCUGUAUUGUUGAUGGGUUUCUUUCGUGAAGAGCAAAUGGGUUGGGCCAGGUUAUAUGCAUUGGUGUUGAAUCAUUUUGUUUAGAAAUUAAAAUAACACCCAUACAUAUUUAAGACGAUAUAUAUCGAGUUAUAAAUACUCUUUAAAAAUAAAUUACUUAUAGCAGAUUAUUAUCGAGUUAUAUCAUAUCAAAUAAAAAUAUAUUUAAUUAAAAAUAAAAUAUAGGUAAUUAUUUCAAUACUAAUUAAUAUGUCUACAUAUUUAUUUUUAUUUUUUCAGUUACCUUUCUUAAAAUAAAACUCUUUAAAUUUUUACAAAUUAAUAGUACAGUUACCUUUUACAAUUUUCAAAAUAAAUAAUAAAUUAUUAUUAAUCAAAUUUUACAUUAUAGAGUUACCUUUUCAAAACAAAAACUAAAUAUUAGGGAUAUGAUUUUAAUUAAAUCUCUACUUUACCAUCGCCCAAUAACUACUCACCUCCAUCACACCCAACACAAACAGCAUUCAACUUCCCCAACACGCCUCAAUCAUUAUCAUCCCGAAUGGUCUGAUUGAUCACUGUACCUAUUACGCCUCACACAUCAAUCCCUAAACGCGCCUCACUCAUCACCUUCCCAUCAUGCCUGAUUCAUCCCCAUCCCCAUCACGCCUCAUAGAUCAAUUUCAUCUCCAAAUUCAUAACUCAAACAUCCACAUUUUCUAUUACACAACACGAUUCAACAAUUUUUUAAAAUCUUGAUAAAUGAUUUUUUGUUAAGUUCGUAUAGAAUGUCGAGCAAAGUUAGUGGAACACCCAGUAAAAGUAGAAUAUUGGUUGAGGAGUCAUCAUCUGAUGACUUUCAUGUUCCUUCAUUCAAUAUUUUGACUCAAAUUCAACCGCAAAAAUCAUAUGGAAAAAGAGACGGCUAGUUCUGUUAAAUCAAAGAUUAAAAAAAACAAAAAAGAGGCAAAGGAAAAAGGGAAGAAGAGGAAGGAAAAAGAAAUUUGAACAUCGUCAGAAUCUGAUUUUGUGGACGAAUUAAAAAAUAAAAGAUCAAAAAAAUGAAAAAGUAUUGAAAUUGGUUGCGAACACUUCGAAUUUAUAGGCAUAUCGUAGAAUUUUGACAAUUAUAAUAUGCAUUACCACUGUAUAAUUUGUGUUUGACUUUGAUGUACGAAUUGAUUUAUUGAUCCCGUAUGACUUUUAUUUUGUAGUUUGAAAUUCACAUAUUAGUUUUUUAAAAAAUUCUAAUAUGAAUAAAUAUUGUAUGAAUUAUCUAUGGACUGAUGUAUUAGUUGUAUGAUUUGUGUAUGAAUUGAGUUGGUUGUCCAUUAAUAUGGCAUCGUAUUAAUGAUUUUUCUAUGAAAUUACAUAUUAUGUUAAAGGUUUUAAUUUAGUUUUACCAAUUUUAUAGGAGAAGAAGGUACAAACAUAUUUGUCUUCAUGUACAAACAUGAAUGUGUUCGCUGAUCUGUUGACCUUCCUCGUUCAAGAUAGGUCCCAACAAUUUCUACAAGAAAUACCAUUUGUUUUUUUAUGAUUUACAUAACAUAAAAAUUCAAUGUCAAUUGUUGCGUCAUAUUUUUUCUUCUUGAAACUGAAAAUAUCAGAGAUGAUAUGUUCAUCAUAAACAUAAAUGGUACAGAGUUACACUUUGGAUUAAAAGAAUUUGUCGCUAUAACCGGUCUAAAAUCUGGACUAAUUUUUAAUUUUGUUUCUGAUCAGUCUAUUCCAAAUAUACUUAUCCAAGAAAAUUUUGGGAAUAUGAACAAAGUACCCAAGUCAGAUUUCUACCAUAAGUUUAAACUGAAAAAACUAUUGGGAAAAGGAUGACUCUUUAAAAAUUGGAAUUUUGUACUUCAUUUUUUCAUUUCUGACUGCUUCAAACCCAUAAAAAAUAACCAUUUCUAAAUUAUAUUUUUAUUUAGUAGAGUCUGGAUAGUAUGACAUAUUUUCAUGGGGAAGUGAGUGUUUUAAAUUAACACUUAAAGUGUGCUUUCAUAAAUUGGAAAAAAAAUCCUUCGUUAUUCAAGUUCAGUCAGUUCCAUAUAGCCUUGCAGGUAUGGUUUCAUGAGUGUUGUCAUCCAUUUGACAACACAAUUGCUAUCCAUGCUUCAGAUCACACACUGCGUAUCCUGAAGUGGAAGACAAAAAUGACAUAUUUUUUUUAUGAUUUGAAGAAAACAAUAUUCAGAACACAUUAUAACCAGGUAAUUUUUAUUAAAAAUUAUUAAAGUAAUUAUAAAUUAUUACAUUCUCAUAUAUUUUUUUUCUGUAGCAUAAACUCAGAAAUAUGAUUUUUACUCAAGAAGAGCUCAAUGUCAUGGAUGAAACCAUUUUAAAUCAAUCUCCCCGUCACCAUGAUUCUGAAGAGAAAUGAACCUCGGAAAACCAUGACAUUGAUUUUGAACAAAAAUAUGUAGAGUUGAAAGCAGAAAUUGCAGAGGUAAAUAAAAAUUUACGAUUAAAAUAGUUUUUAGAUAUUACAUUAUAAAUAUCAAAACUUAUUACUGUUUAAUGAACAAGUUAAGGCGGAGUUAAAAGAGCUCAAAGUUAAAUGUUAGUUCCAAUCACAUUUAAAUUAACUAAUAUUAUUAUUGUAGGUUUUAUGUUAUUAUAUUAAUAUAUUUUUUUAUAUUCAUAAGGUUGACAAGCACAUGGUUGAAAUCAAGACUUACGUCAAUAACUCGACUAAGCUGAUAUUUGAAGAGAUUAUAUUGUCAAGAGGUCAACCAACAACAGAUGCACAACAUGUAUGGAUCAAUGUAUGUUCUUUGUAUGAAUGUUGUUUGAUCAUAGUAUGUAGUAGUAUUUGUGUUAUUUGUCUAUGUUUAUGAUCAGUGUAUGACUUUUAAAUGACUAAUAGAAAAUAUUUCAUAUCUAUGUGAAUAAUGUAAAAUUUUGUAUUAAUUAUGUACGAAAGUGUUUUUUCAUACAUAUAGGAAUAAUGUAUAAAUGUUGUAUAAAAAUGUAUGAAAUUUUGUUUUUCAUAUAUGUAUGAAUUCAGUUAAUUUAAUUCAUAUAAAAAAUUAGAAUAUAUUGACGUUGUCUGAAAACUAAUUGUUGUGAUCCUUUAAAUUAGAAGCAACAUCCUGGUGACUCAAUUAAAAAGAACUAGUUAAAAGAAUUUUAAUACGGGUGAAAGGGAAAAGGGGGGUGGGGGUAAAAUGAGUUUAAGGGGAUUAAAGGGAGUCGCCACCUAAUUUUUUUAGGAAAACUAGAAAAUCGAUUAAUUAAUUAACUUAAAAGAGAGUCUAUGAAACCAAUUUGAUUCUAGGUAAGGGGUUCAAGUUAUUUCGAAGGAAAGGGGUUAGGCAUCCUUCGAAAUCCACACCUAUGCUUCCCAACUGAAUUCAUCUUUUACAAAUUGAGCAGGAGAAUAAAAUAAUGUACACAUAUAAUAAACAUGCAAUAUACACAAUAAAACAAAAUAACAAUAUCGGUCUGAGGUUUGCCUAACAUCGAUAUAUACAAAAUAAUGAAUUCAAAAAUAUAAAUUCGAAGUCCUUUUUGAAUAGAUUCAAAGAAGCAUGCAUUGGGUACGUGUAAACACACUUAGUACAAGUAUUUUUAUUAAAUAAAUAUGAAUAAAAUUGAAUAGAUGAAAUAAUAACUUAAAAAUAAAAACCCUUCUUAUUAACAUGGAAGGCCUUGAAAAUCGACGGUAAUUUUUUCAUCUGUCUAUUUUAACAAGCAAAACAUAAACAUAAACAUAAAUAUAAGUUCCAUUUUUUUAACAUUGGGGAUGCCUCCGAAAUCGACGAAGAAAUUCUUUCAUUGAUAAUUUUAACAAUUUAAUAAACAAGUUUUAUGAAUUUAAAUAAAAAUUUUGGUCUUUUAUCAUUGGGGAGGCAUCCAAAAUCGACGGAGAGAUUUUGUCAUUGGUCAUUUUACUUGUAAUUUAAAUAGACCCAAAAAAAAUAUAAUGUGAAAUUUAAAAUAUCUUAAUCAAUAAUAAAGUAACAACAACCGGGAUAAAUAUAUUAGGAAAUACCUAAUGUUAACAUAGAAGUAACAAUUUAAUGAAAAUAUUAACACUACCCAUUAAUAAAUUAGAAAUUAGCCAAACCAAGUACUUAACAAAAACGAAAGAAACAUAAAUGGGCAUAGAAAUUAAUAGAUAAAAAUAACUACAAUUACAAAGAAAUAAUUAACAAUUAACAAAAAAGUCUAAUAAUCUCAAAAAUCACCAAAAUCUUAAACAUAUUAAUAAAGCUACCAAACAGUGAAAAAUUAAAAAAAAUAAAAAUUAAUCUUAAUAAAUGGAUAUGAAAAACUUCAUAGAAUAAAAAUAAUAAAAUAUAACCUACCUAUAUAUAAUAACCACAACCCAACAACUUUAAACAGUCAAAUGAGUAAGAAUAAAAUUAAAAAAAAUAAUAAAGGGAAAUAAAAUAGUAAGUUCAUCUCACUAAUAAAUGCACAAAGCAAAAGUACAAAUAGUAAUAAUCAAUAAUAAUAUCACCAAAAACCACUAUAACAAUAAAAUUCAAACUAAAAGAGGACCUGACCGUCAGAGAUUUGUUGUUGUUGUCACUCUUCCUCGUGACUGGUUUUGUUGCUCCUUAGAAAUUUUGGUUACUGCUGUUGUUUGCUCACAAAUUUGUUGAUAUAGUUCACCUGCAAAAAAUAUAGAAUCGUUAAGGGGAAAAGUGAAAGGACAGGCGGUGGUCUGAUUGUUGGAUCGUUUUCGACGACUUUUCACUGGAAAAAGAGAAAACGAUAAGAUUUUUGUGGUGAAAUGGAUUUGUUUUCUUUUUUUUUUUGUUCUAAGAUGAUGGUUAAAUUUUUUUCUGUUGAUGUUGGAGAAGAAAGGGGAGGAUGGAGGUGGGUCUGGUGGUUAUUGGUUAAGAUUUGCGGCUAUUCGUCGCCGAAAAAAGGAGGAAACGAAGGAGGGACUUUUGUGGUUGUUGAGUUGGGGAAGAAGAUGGCAGGACCAAUGGUGAUUUCAGGCGAGUUGGGGUUAGGUAGUUGCCUAUUUGAGUGGCUGUUCCAGCUGCAUUUUGAAGGUCGUUUUUGGAUCUAUUUUGUUGCUGGUCGUUUGGUCGGCUAGCUGUUUCAGUGAAGAAGAGGCCAUAGAUUCCCGAUGGUUUUUUGGAUAUGGAGGAGAAAGAAAAAUGGAAGGUUGGAUGGUUGCCGACUCCUAGCCAAAAAUAUGAGGAGAAACUUUUAGGGUUUUUUUAUUUUGGAAAGUUUUCAUCCCUAGUCUCAAAAUAUUAUCCACCCC
rnacentral:lncRNA from 1 species